rnacentral:tRNA from 1 species
GCGGAUUUAGCUCAGUUGGUAGAGCUUUUGCUUCCCAAGCAAAGGGUCGCGGGUUCGAGUCCCGCAAUCCGCUCCA